CGGGCUGUAGCGCAGCUUGGUUAGCGCGCCACACUGGGGGUGUGGAGGUCGCCGGUUCAAAUCCGGCCAGCCCGACCA
rnacentral:tRNA from 1 species